rnacentral:ncRNA from 1 species
CGGUUAACGGCUGCCCUAGACACCAUAUAAGGGGCCGAAGAAGCAAACCCAGGGUUAUGCAUCUUACUCUGGCGGAAACUGACAGGCAAAAGGAAGGUAGUCCCACGGAACUUUGGAGAGAAUGCGGACAGCAUCGCCUACGAGGCUAGAACCAACUGGCAAAAGGACAGAG